GAUGAACGCUGGCGGCGUGCCUAACACAUGCAAGUCGAACGGAGUCGUUUUGGAAAUCUCUUCGGAGAUGGAAUUCUCGACUUAGUGGCGGACGGGUGAGUAACGCGUGAGCACUCUGCCUUUAAGAGGGGGAUAACAGUCGGAAACGGCUGCUAAUACCGCAUAAAGCAUUAAAUUCGCAUGUUUUUGAUGCCAAAGGAGCAAUCCGCUUUUAGAUGAGCUCGCGUCUGAUUAGCUAGUUGGCGGGGUAACGGCCCACCAAGGCGACGAUCAGUAGCCGGACUGAGAGGUUGAACGGCCACAUUGGGCCUGAGACACGGCCCAGACUCCUACGGGAGGCGGCAGUGGGGAAUAUUGCGCGAUGGGGGAAGCCCUGACGCAGCAUCGCCGCGUGAUUGAAGAAGGCCUUCGGGUUGUAAAGAUCUUUAAUCAGGGACGAAACAAAUGACGGUACCUGAAGAAUAAGCCCCGGCUAACUACGUG
rnacentral:rRNA from 1 species